CCUACGGGAGGCAGCAGUGAGGAAUAUUGGUCAAUGGGCUUACGCCUGAACCAGCCAAGUCGCGUGAGGGAAGACUGCCCUAUGGGUUGUAAACCUCUUUUGUCAGGGAGCAAUUGGCGCUACGUGUAGCGUUAUCGAGAGUACCUGAAGAAAAAGCAUCGGCUAACUCCGUGCCAGCAGCCGCGGUAAUACGGAGGAUGCGAGCGUUAUCCGGAUUUAUUGGGUUUAAAGGGUGCGUAGGCGGAAUGCCAAGUCAGCGGUAAAAUCGCGGGGCUCAACCGCGGAACUGCAUUUGAAACUGUUUU
rnacentral:rRNA from 1 species